AGUGAACGCUGGCGGUAGGCCUAACACAUGCAAGUCGAACGGCAGCACAGUAAGAGCUUGCUCUUACGGGUGGCGAGUGGCGGACGGGUGAGGAAUACAUCGGAAUCUACUUUUUCGUGGGGGAUAACGUAGGGAAACUUACGCUAAUACCGCAUACGACCUACGGGUGAAAGCAGGGGAUCUUCGGACCUUGCGCGAUUGAAUGAGCCGAUGUCGGAUUAGCUAGUUGGCGGGGUAAAGGCCCACCAAGGCGACGAUCCGUAGCUGGUCUGAGAGGAUGACAGCCCGAAGGGGAGGGGGACCGGGCUCAGGGCUCCGGCGGGAGGCACCAGAGGGAAAUUUGGGACAGGGGGGGCGAGCUUGGCCCACCGGUCCGGGGGGGGAAAAAGAGCCCUCGGGGUUGAAAGCCCGUUUUUUGGGGAAAAAAAAGCAGGAGUUUAUUCCCCCGCUGUUUUGACGGUACCAAAAAAAGAAGCACCGGCUAACUUCGUG
rnacentral:rRNA from 1 species